rnacentral:rRNA from 1 species
GAUAUUGGUCAAUGGCCCAACGGCUGAACCAGCAAUUUGGGAGAAUGGAGGUAUAUAUCUAAUGAUGCAUAUAUACAAAUCGACUAUGUCGUAUAAAGUUCUAAAUAGAUAAUUGAUUAUGACAGAUUUCUAUUUAUGUGUCUCGACCAAUUCUUGUGCCAGCAGUCGCGGCAACACAAGUGAGACUAGUGUUAUUCAUCUUUAUUAGGUUUAAAGGGUACCUAGACGGUUUUUUUUAGCGUGAAAAAUGUACAAAAAAAACUAGAGUUUUAUAUGAGAGGUAAAUAUUAGGACUAUUGGUGUAGAGAUGAAAUUUUUUGAUACUAAUUGGAUGUAUAAUGGCGAAGGCGAUCCUCUAUUUAUAAACUGACGUUAAGGGACGAAGGCUUGGGGAGCGAAUAGGAUUAGAUACCCUAGUAGUCCAGGCAGAAAAUUAUGAAUGUUAUAGACUAACUAUAUAAUUAGUGUAUAAAUGAAAGUGUAAGCAUUCCACCUCAAGAGUAAUGUGGCAACGCAGGAACUGAAAUCAUUAGACCGUUUGUGAAACCAGUAGUGAAGUAUGUUAUUU